AAAGAAUUAGUUAAACAAUAACAUAAAUAUGUCAAAUUUAAAUUAAUAAUUUAAUUAUUAUUCUUUU
rnacentral:tRNA from 2 species